rnacentral:rRNA from 1 species
GCACAAGCAGUGGAGUAUGUGGUUUAAUUCGAAGCAACGCGAAGAACCUUUACCAGGGCUUGACAUCCCUUGAAGCAGCUAGAGAUAGCUGUGUCCUUCGGGACAAGGAGACAGGUGGUGCAUGGUUGUCGUCAGCUCGUGUCGUGAGAUGUUGGGUUAAGUCCCGCAACGAGCGCAACCCCUGUGGUUAGUUGCCAGCAAGUAGCGUUGGGCACUCUAGCCAGACUGCCGGUGAUAAAUCGGAGGAAGUGGGGACGACGUCAAAUCAUCAUGCCCUUUAUGUCCUGGGCUGCACACGUACUACAAUGGCCGUUACAACGGGAAGCGAAGGAGCAAUCCGGAGCAAAUCCCUUAAAGGCGGUCCCAGUUCAGAUUGUGGGCUGAAACUCGCCCACAUGAAGGCGGAAUUGCUAGUAAUUGCAGAUCAGCAUGCUGCAGUGAAUACGUUCCCGGGCCUU